rnacentral:rRNA from 1 species
GGAGCAGGCGGCGGCAAAGGUCUGUGGUGAAAGACUGAAGCUUAACUUCAGUAAGCCAUAGAAACCGGGCGGCUAGAGUGCAGGAGAGGAUCGUGGAAUUCCAUGUGUAGCGGUGAAAUGCGUAGAUAUAUGGAGGAACACCAGUGGCGAAGGCGACGGUCUGGCCUGUAACUGACGCUCACUCCCGAAAGCGUGGGAGCAAAUA